GCAGCACACUAGACGGCUGCUCCCAAGUAAUUGGGAGAGGAAAGUCCGAACACUCCCCCGCCUUGCGGGGUGAAUUGCUCCGGGUAACACCCGGCCGCAGUAAUGCGAGAGGUGCGAGCAGAGACGCGCGUGGCCGAAAGGCUAGGCGAUCCCCUCGGGGAUAGUCCUCUGGAAACAGAGGGGUGAAACGGCUAAAUCCUGGCAGGGUGCAAGAGCAAACCAGGAAAUCUGCGAUCAUGCGGAAAUCCUGGCAACGGUAGCUCGCUUGAUCCUGAAGAGCAAUCUCCAGGACAGAUAGAUGGCCGUCCCAGACAGAAUUCGGCUUAUACGUGUGCUGCAACA
rnacentral:RNase_P_RNA from 1 species